AUGAAUGGGGAUUUGUGUCAUCAGCUGUACGAGCAGCCACAAAGAUGUUUUGGAUGCUGUGUCCUCCUCAGGACCGUGUGGGAGCCCUCAGGGCCCCUCAGGUCAGGUGAGCGGGAAUUUGGGAAGGAGCAGGAAUUUGGGAACAAGACCCCGGAGAAAAACAGGAUUUUAACGGCUGUAGGAGCAGCCACAAAGAUGUUUUGGAUGCUGUGUCCUCCUCAGGCCCCUCAGGUCAGCUGUAGGAGCAGCCACAAAGAUGUUUUGGAUGCUGUGUCCUCCUCAGGCCCCUCAGGUCAGGUGAGCGGGAAUUUGGGAAGGAGCAGGAAUUUGGGAACAAGACCCCGGAGAAAAACAGGAUUUUAACGGGCCCUGUGGGAGCCCUCAGGGAGGGUCCCAGCCCGGGCGGGAAUUCGGGAAUUGGGGAACAACAACCCAGGGAAAAAUGGGAUUUUAAAGGAGAGCGGGAGUUUGGGAACGACACCCCGGAGAAAAACUGGAUUUUAACGGGGAAAUAAAGUGAUCCCACUAUCCCACUAUGGAGAUUUCUGCCAUCGGUUGUAAGAGCAGCCACAAGGAUGUUUUGGAUGCUGUGUCCAAGUCUGGAAUCAUCGGGACAGGAGGGACAGGGAGCAGGCCCAGCAAUAAAAAUGAUGAAAGGACUGGAGCAUCUCCCUGCCCAGGAAAGGCUGAGGGAGCUGGGGCUGUGCAGCCUUGAGAGGAGAUAAAUGAGAAGGAACCUCAUUCCUCUGUGUCCCUGUGUGUCCCUGUCCAUGAUUCUGUAAUUCUGUGAGUCUGUAAUUCUGUGAGUCUGUGAUUCUGUGAAUCUGUGAUUCCGUGAUUCUGUGAUUCUGUGAUUCUGUGAUUCUAUGAUUCUCUGAUUCUGUGAGUCUGUGAUUUUGUAAGACUGAUUCUGUAGUUCUGUGAUUUUAUGAGACUGUGAUUCCAUGAUUCUGUGAUUUUGUGGAUCUGUAAUUCUGUAAUUCUGUAAUUGUGAGUCUGUAAUUAUUGGUUUUGUGAGACUGUGAGUCUCUGAUUCUGUGAUUCUGUAAUUCCAUGAUUCUCUGAUUCUGUAGUUCUGUGAUUUUUGUGAGACUGCGAUUCCACGAUUCCACGAUUCUGUGAUUCUGUAAUUCAGUGAUUCUAUAACUCUGUGAAUCUGUAAUUCCCUCUGUGAUUCCAUGAUUCUCUGAUUCUGUGAUUCUAUGAGUCUGUGACUGAUUCUGCAGUACUGUGAUUCUGUGUGUCUGAUAUUCUGUGAUUCCAUGGCUCUGUGCUUCUAGGAUUCUGAGAGUCUUGUGAAUCCAUGACUUUGUGAUUCCAUGAUUCUGUGAUUCCAUGAUUCUGUGGUUGACUCUGACACUGUAAUUCUGUGAUUCCAUCACUCUGCAGUUCUAAGAUUCUGUGACUCCCUGAUUCUGUGAUUCUGUGAUUCCAUCACUCUGCAGUUCUGGGAUUCUGGAGUCUAUGAUUCCAUGAUUUUGUGAUUCUCACUCUGUGACUCUGAGAUCCGUGAUUCCCUGAUUCCAUCACUCUACAGUUCUGGGAUUCUGGGAGUCUGUGAUUCCAUGAUUUUGUGAUUCUCACUCUGUGACUCUGAGAUUCUGUAAUUCCAUGAUUCCACCACUAUACAGAUCUGUGAGUCUAUGAUUCCAUGAUUUUGUGGUUCUCACCCUGUGACCCUCUGAUUACAUGAUUCCACGAUUCCAUCACUCUACAGUUCUGGGAUUCUGGGGGGGGGGGGGGGGGGGGGGGGGGGGGGGGGGGGGGGGGGGGGGGGGGGGGGGGGGGGGGGGGGGGGGGGGGGGGGGGGGGG
ensembl:lncRNA